CGCCUCUUGAAACUACAUAAGAGGUCCAGCCUGCCCAGUGACUAAGUUCAACGGCCGCGGUAUCCUAACCGUGCGAAGGUAGCGUAAUCACUUGUUCUUUAAAUGAGGACUAGUAUGAAUGGCACCACGAGGGUUAUGCUGUCUCCUUUUUCUAAUCAAUGAAACUGAUCCCCCCGUGAAGAAGCGGGGAUAUAUUUAUAAGACGAGAAGACCCUAUGGAGCUUUAAACCAUGUAACACUGGCUUUCACAUUAAAAUAUUCCAGAAUUUUCAUAAUUACUCUAGCCAUUAUGAUUACUAGUUUUAGGUUGGGGUGACCACGGAGCAAAAAUUAACCUCCAUGUUGAACGGAGCUACUCCUGAGCCAAAAGCCACGACUUUAAGCACUAAUAAAUUAACAUUAAUUGACCCAAUAUUUUUGAUCAACGAACCAAGUUACCCUAGGGAUAACAGCGCA
rnacentral:rRNA from 1 species